rnacentral:rRNA from 1 species
AAGUACCCCGAGGAAAAGAAAUCAACCGAGAUUCCCCCAGUAGCGGCGAGCGAACGGGGAGGAGCCCAGAGCCUGAAUCAGCAUGUGUGUUAGUGGAAGCGUCUGGAAAGGUGCGCGAUACAGGGUGACAGCCCCGUACACAAAAGCGCAUGUGCUGUGAGCUCGAUGAGUAGGGCGGGACACGUGGUAUCCUGUCUGAAUAUGGGGGGACCAUCCUCCAAGGCUAAAUACUCCUGACUGACCGAUAGUGAACCAGUACCGUGAGGGAAAGGCGAAAAGAACCCCGGCGAGGGGAGUGAAAAAGAACCUGAAACCGUGUACGUACAAGCAGUGGGAGCACCCUUCGGGGUGUGACUGCGUACCUUUUGUAUAAUGGGUCAGCGACUUAUAUUCUGUAGCAAGGUUAACCGUAUAGGGGAGCCGUAGGGAAACCGAGUCUUAACCGGGCGUUAAGUUGCAGGGUAUAGACCCGAAACCCGGUGAUCUAGCCAUGGGCAGGUUGAAGGUUGGGUAACACUAACUGGAGGACCGAACCGACUAAUGUUGAAAAAUUAGCGGAUGACCUGUGGCUGGGGGUGAAAGGCCAAUCAAACCGGGAGAUAGCUGGUUCUCCCCGAAAGCUAUUUAGGUAGCGCCUCGUGAAUUCAUCUCCGGGGGUAGAGCACUGUUUCGGCUAGGGGGCCAUCCCGGCUUACCAACCCGAUGCAAACUGCGAAUACCGGAGAAUGUUAUCACGGGAGACACACGGCGGGUGCUAACGUCCGUCGUGAAGAGGGAAACAACCCAGACCGCCAGCUAAGGUCCCAAAGUCAUGGUUAAGUGGGAAACGAUGUGGGAAGGCCCAGACAGCCAGGAUGUUGGCUUAGAAGCAGCCAUCAUUUAAAGAAAGCGUAAUAGCUCACUGGUCGAGUCGGCCUGCGCGGAAGAUGUAACGGGGCUAAACCAUGCACCGAAGCUGCGGCAGCGAACGUAUCACCCAAGACAACUUUACGGAGUUGACGAUUGACGGAGCGAAGCGACGUCAAAGCGUUCAUUAAAGUCGAGUUGGCUUAGGGAUACGUUCGUUGGGUAGGGGAGCGUUCUGUAAGCCUGUGAAGGUGUGUCGUGAGGCAUGCUGGAGGUAUCAGAAGUGCGAAUGCUGACAUAAGUAACGAUAAAGCGGGUGAAAAGCCCGCUCGCCGGAAGACCAAGGGUUCCUGUCCAACGUUAAUCGGGGCAGGGUGAGUCGACCCCUAAGGCGAGGCCGAAAGGCGUAGUCGAUGGGAAACGGGUUAAUAUUCCCGUACUUGGUGUUACUGCGAAGGGGGGACGGAGAAGGCUAUGUUGGCCGGGCGACGGUUGUCCCGGUUUAAGCGUGUAGGUGUGUGUUCCAGGUAAAUCCGGUUCACUUUAACACUGAGGCGUGACGACGAGGCACUACGGUGCUGAAGCAACAAAUGCCCUGCUUCCAGGAAAAGCCUCUAAGCAUCAGGUAACACGAAAUCGUACCCCAAACCGACACAGGUGGUCAGGUAGAGAAUACCAAGGCGCUUGAGAGAACUCGGGUGAAGGAACUAGGCAAAAUGGUGCCGUAACUUCGGGAGAAGGCACGCUGACACGUAGGUGAAGUGAUUUACUCAUGGAGCUGAAGUCAGUCGAAGAUACCAGCUGGCUGCAACUGUUUAUUAAAAACACAGCACUGUGCAAACACGAAAGUGGACGUAUACGGUGUGACGCCUGCCCGGUGCCGGAAGGUUAAUUGAUGGGGUCAGCGCAAGCGAAGCUCCUGAUCGAAGCCCCGGUAAACGGCGGCCGUAACUAUAACGGUCCUAAGGUAGCGAAAUUCCUUGUCGGGUAAGUUCCGACCUGCACGAAUGGCGUAAUGAUGGCCAGGCUGUCUCCACCCGAGACUCAGUGAAAUUGAACUCGCUGUGAAGAUGCAGUGUACCCGCGGCAAGACGGAAAGACCCCGUGAACCUUUACUAUAGCUUGACACUGAACAUUGAGCCUUGAUGUGUAGGAUAGGUGGGAGGCUUUGAAGUGUGGACGCCAGUCUGCAUGGAGCCGACCUUGAAAUACCACCCUUUAAUGUUUGAUGUUCUAACGUGGACCCGUAAUCCGGGUUGCGGACAGUGUCUGGUGGGUAGUUUGACUGGGGCGGUCUCCUCCUAAAGAGUAACGGAGGAGCACGAAGGUUGGCUAAUCCUGGUCGGACAUCAGGAGGUUAGUGCAAUGGCAUAAGCCAGCUUGACUGCGAGCGUGACGGCGCGAGCAGGUGCGAAAGCAGGUCAUAGUGAUCCGGUGGUUCUGAAUGGAAGGGCCAUCGCUCAACGGAUAAAAGGUACUCCGGGGAUAACAGGCUGAUACCGCCCAAGAGUUCAUAUCGACGGCGGUGUUUGGCACCUCGAUGUCGGCUCAUCACAUCCUGGGGCUGAAGUAGGUCCCAAGGGUAUGGCUGUUCGCCAUUUAAAGUGGUACGCGAGCUGGGUUUAGAACGUCGUGAGACAGUUCGGUCCCUAUCUGCCGUGGGCGCUGGAGAACUGAGGGGGGCUGCUCCUAGUACGAGAGGACCGGAGUGGACGCAUCACUGGUGUUCGGGUUGUCAUGCCAAUGGCACUGCCCGGUAGCUAAAUGCGGAAGAGAUAAGUGCUGAAAGCAUCUAAGCACGAAACUUGCCCCGAGAUGAGUUCUCCCUGAGACUUAGAGUCUCCUGAAGGAACGUUGAAGACGACGACGUUGAUAGGCCGGGUGUGUAAGCGCAGCGAUGCGUUGAGCUAACCGGUACUAAUGAACCGUGAGGCUUAACCUUACA